UAGGGGAAUUUUCGUUCAAUGGGCGCGAAGCCUGAACGAGCAAUGCCGCGUGAGUGAGGAAGGUCUUCGGAUCGUAAAGCUCUGUUGCAGGUCAGAAAAGAAGGAAAGAGGAAAUGCUUUUCUUUGAUAGUAACCUGCCAGAAAGUCACGGCUAACUACGUGCC
rnacentral:rRNA from 1 species